rnacentral:rRNA from 1 species
AUGGCGGAGGAAUCGUGGAGCAACUCCCCUCCGUCUGCCAAGAGAAUGGCAGAGGCAUCAUGGAGCAACUCCCCUCCGUCUACCAUACAUCACCGUGGUGAGGCGUCUAGCAAGGAGCCGCUGGUAGUCGACGACGACGUUCCGGUCCCCGGACAGAAGUGGGACUACACCAUGCCGCUCAAGGUUGAUAUCCACCUGAAGGAGCCGCUGGAUGUCGUAUGCACCAGCAAUCCAGAUGAAGCCGACAAGAUGAUCCGCAAGAUGAGGAGGAGGCUCGGCGGCAUGCUUCGUCGGAAUAUCGGCGAGUAUACCAGGGAAGACAAACCUCCGCAAAUUGCUGCAGUUCUGCAGUUAUGCGUGGAGGAUCUCGUCCUGGUAUACCACAUCACCGCGGCAACCAAAUGGCCCAAGGAACUCCGCCCGCUCCUGCAGGAGAAGAAGCUGUACACCUUUGUUGGCUUCUGCAUUGGAGGCGACAAGGAGAAGCUGAAGUUGUCUGGUUUAGAGAUCAACCCCGACAACCUCAUCCACCCAUCGUACAAGGAAAUGAAGCAGAAGAUCGAUAGGAAAUCGGACCACCUACUAUGGGGGGACAGCCCACUGCCAAACAACCUCAUCGAGUACGCCGCGAAAGAUGCGUACGUCACCUACGAGGCAUGGAAGAAAAUCGAAAUCACCAAAGAAGGUUUGGAGCUUUGGCAAGAGCCGGAGGAUCAUUGGGAUGACCCCUACUACUGGGGAUAUUGA